rnacentral:lncRNA from 1 species
GAACUCCAGCCGCUGGAAUUCUACCUUAUCGGCUACGGCGGCGAAGGAGAAGAAGGGGAAAUGGUGAUCAAAAUUUUUUUUUUUCUUUUCUAUUUGUAAUGGGGCCGAGUAGGCUGGGUGGGAUUGAUUGAAUAGAGAAACUUUUUAUUUUAGAUUAGAUUAGAUUUUAUAUUUAGAUAUUAGUAGAUUUUUUUAAAAAAAAAUUGGUAUAAAUAGGACACUUACAUAAAAGUGUCCCAAAAAUGUGUUUCUAUAACCUAAUUUUGUUGUAGUAUUGGUGCUACCAAAUUUUCUGCCGUUUUAUCAGCUCCUUUAAUUAUUUUCACCCGUUAGACUAUACUAUUCAACCAACCACCCACUCAACCCUAGAGACCACUAUCAUCUUAACCAUACAUCGAUUCAUCCAAGAGUCAAAAACUUAAUAGUACUAAUGAUGUAGUGCUAUUAAUAUUUUUCUAACCUAAUUCUAUAUAUAUAUAUAUAUAUAUAUAUAUAUAUAGAAGUGUAGAACUAGGCUACUAUGCUAUUAAUAGCACCAAGUCAUUGGUGCUAUUAAGUUUUUGGCCAUUGAAUUAAGAGAUGUGUGCUUAGGAUGAUGUGGGCCUCCUAGGGUUGAGUGGGUGGUUGGUUGAAUAGUAUGAUCUAACGGAUGAAAAUGAUAAAAAUGGUAGAUCUAACAGCAGAAAACUUAGUAGCACCAAGUGUUUUGUGCUAUUAAUAGCAUAAUAGCCGAACUCAUAUAUAUAUAUAUAUAUAUAUAUAUAUAUAUA